AGCGAACGCUGGCGGCAGGCCUAACACAUGCAAGUCGAACGAACCUUUCGGGGUUAGUGGCGGACGGGUGAGUAACACGUGGGAACGUGCCUUUAGGUUCGGAAUAACUCAGGGAAACUUGUGCUAAUACCGAAUGUGCCCUUCGGGGGAAAGAUUUAUCGCCUUUAGAGCGGCCCGCGUCUGAUUAGCUAGUUGGUUGAGGUAAUGGCUCACCAAGGCGACGAUCAGUAGCUGGUCUGAGAGGAUGAUCAGCCACAUUGGGACUGAGACACGGCCCAAACUCCUAAGGGAGGCAGCAGUGGGGAAUCUUGCGCAAUGGGCGAAAGCCUGACGCAGCCAUGCCGCGUGAAUGAUGAAGGUCUUAGGAUUGUAAAAUUCUUUCACCGGGGACGAUAAUGACGGUACCCGGAGAAGAAGCCCCGGCUAACUUCGU
rnacentral:rRNA from 1 species